AUUUUCCCAUACCGGCCAAAAAUUUCGACCUUUCCCGCGCGCGCCACCGUGGUCCAAAAUUUACCCACACCGGCCCAUUUACGUUUCCAGCCCAUCGAAACCCUAAAAAUCCAUUUACCUUUCCAGGCACAGGCUCGCAGCGUCGGGCCGUCGGCGGCGCUUGUUCUUCUUCUUCCUCCAAAUCCCCACCCUCCGCCGCCGCCGCGCACGGCGCACCUGCAACCUCCUGCUGCGCCCGGUCCCCGACGCGGCUGCGCUCUCCGAGACUCCGACUACUGCCUCCACCAGAUCUUCCCCCCGGCCCCCGCGCGCCCUGGCGGGAGCGGCGGCGGGUACCGCCUACCGCGCGCCGGAGCUCGUGGACGCGCGCCGCCCGAUGUUCAGGUCCGACGUGUACUCUCUCGGGGUGCUGUUCCUGGAGCUGCUGACGUGCAAGUCCCCCGCGCACCACGCGUCCCUGGAGGGCGGCGACGGCGCCGUGCCUUAGAGCAGGGGAAGAAGGUCGAGGUUGCGUAGAGCUCAGGGGAGAGGGAGCCCGUUCUUGCCGUCGAGCUCCGCCGCCGCGCAGGCAAGGCACGAGCUCCGUAGCCGCCGCCCAGCGCGAGCACGCGGAGCGACUCCUGCACGCGCUCGACGGGGAAAUUGAGCGCGGCCCCGGGCCCCCGCGCGGACAGCGCUACCUGGCCGUAGGCCAUGAGCCGUGGACCUCCCACUGUGGGUGCAGUCGGCGGUGCGGGAGGAUUGGACGGCCGAGGUGUUCGGCUCCGCCCCUCCGGCGGUCCGGCCUCCAGGCCGCCGAGGGCUGCGCGCUUGCGCCUCCUCCUACAAGUGCUAGUGAAUUUAAUUUGCAGGACGUAGAGAAAGAUAACCUUCUCUGCUCUAUCUCAGAUAUAUAUGAUGUCUUUAUUUCUUCAUCUAUAUUCAGGAUGCAUGCUCAAGCUUUUACAGUUUGCUGAUUUGAGUGCCAUGGGGUCACAUUGAUUUGAAUUUCUAGUAUGAUGUGUAUGUGUUCCUGCUUAACGAUUACUAAUCGUGGCCUCGGCUCCCUGUCAGUGUUAGGAGCUCUUGGAGAAGAACGUCAAGCGGCCGGACUUGAAGCAAAGCUUCCCUAGAAUGGAUUGCCGUGGCAGUGGCAAGGGCAAAGAGAAGGCCAUACCAGAUAGUGACGAGGUAUGCAGUGCAGCUGGUGGGUCGUCCAAGACAUAUGUAGUUGAUAGAGCAGGUUUGUGCUACCAGGUAUGCUGACAAUAGUAUUCCGAUGCCUUCAAAGGUGCGUUAUCAUUUUCAGAUCCAGAAGUAAUUGACUUUGAGGGAAAUAGUAAUGCAGAUCGGUUCAGGGCUGAUCACAUAUAGGCAACUUUAUGGUGACCGCAAUUGCAUGCCUGCCAAGGCAUUAUGCUGAAAUUAAGCAUACUCUUCGAACUUCGUGUUACAGUUCACUUGCUGUAGCUUGAUCCUUUGAAUGAUGCUGAAAAGGGCAUGGUCUUCUAAGGAGUCGCCUGUUGCUUGCGGUACUCCUAGAAUUGAGAAAACAAACUCAAGUCAGGUCGUCUGGGAACAUUGGAACGGAGAAGUUUUGCAGCGGUGCUGCAGGAGACAAAAGAAGCAGCAUCCCAAGAGCAACAUUUCAAGCAUGAGGAUAGGGAAGCAAAUUUUGAAGCGAAUGAGUUAGCAAAACAGGCAUUUGUGUGUUUUUUUUUAAAAAAACUUUCCAAUUUCGUUAAAUCAAUAGAAUGUCACUCUCGUCCCCAA